UACAGAGGGUGCUAGCGUUAAUCGGAUUUACUGGGCGUAAAGCGUGUGUAGGCGGUUCGUUAAGUCGGGUGUGAAAUCCCUGGGCUCAACCCGGGAAUUGCAUUCGAUACUGGCGAGCUAGAGUACGGUAGAGGGCGGCGGAAUUCCGGGUGUAGCGGUGAAAUGCGUAGAUAUCCGGAGGAACACCGAUGGCGAAGGCAACCGCCUGGGCCUGUACUGACGCUGAGACACGAAAGCGUGGGGAGCAAACAGG
rnacentral:rRNA from 1 species